rnacentral:rRNA from 1 species
CAAUAGCGUAUAUUAAUGUUGUUGCAGUUAAAAAGCUCGUAGUUGGAUUUCUGGUGGGAGCGGCCGGUCCGCCGUAAGGUGUGUACUUGGUUGUCUCCUGUCAUCCUUGUGGGAACUGCUCUGGCAUUAAGUUGUCGGGGUUAGGGAACACAUCGUUUACUGUGAAAAAAUUAGAGUGUUUAAAGCAGGCUUAUGCCGUUGAAUACAUUAGCAUGGAAUAAUAAGAUAGGACUUUGGCGUCUAUUUUGUUGGUUUGCGCACCAAGGUAAUGAUUAAUAGGGAUAGUUGGGGGUAUUCGUAUUUAAUUGUCAGAGGUGAAAUUCUUGGAUUUAUGAAAGACGAACUUCUGCGAAAGCAUUUACCAAAGAUGUUUUCAUUA